CAGAUUUUGGAGUACUGCAAAAUGACUUUCCAAAUUGAUGAACCAUGAACUCUAAGCUGGAUAGACAGAGAAAUGAAAAGAAGGGACUAAUGGGGAAUAAGACGUGUGAUCCAUGGCCCAAUGGCCCUGAUGGACGUGAAGAUCCACUGUUGUGGGAGGAAUGGAACACUAACACUAAAUGAUGGAGGCUGUGGUCAGAAACAGCUGAAUAUAACUGGCCAGUGCAGAAGAGCCUAUGAAGGUGGAAAAUGGAGGAAGGAGGACCCCAUGCUGGAGAAGUGAUGGAGUUUUGAAGUCUUGGAAGAUGGUGGCAAGGGAGAUGCCAGAGAUGAGACAAACCUAAUACUCUGUUAAACAUCUGUAAUCUAACAGUCUUCUAUAGGAGUUUAUUUUAUUUCCAUAUCCUAUGUUCACUUCUAGUGAGAAAUAAAAAUAAAAUCUUAAGCCCCCCACAACUGACUAAAUGGAUCCCAUUGUGAAAGGA
rnacentral:lncRNA from 1 species